UGGUACAAACAGAACAUAAAAAAAACAGUACACUUUAUAGCACAACAAACAAACGUAAUGUUUUUCUUGGUUUAGUAUGCAACUUGAAACGUUUUCCCAGUAGCGUUUUCAUCUUAGCUUCAUCACAUUGUAGGCUUUACAGUGAGACGAGAAGCGACCUUCUGACCACAAGACUUGUCAGCCUGCAAUGAAUCCGCGCAAAAGAUUAGUUUUCGUUUCCCGCUCUUAAUGUAAGGAUAAAGAAUCAUGCGAAAGAAGAAAAACUCAAACCUGAGACAAGUAUGAUAUCCAUAUACUGCGUAUCUCAUAAGUGACUCGGGGAUCAGAUAAAUGCUCAACCCAUUUGCUAACAUAUCUGUCUUGCCUGAAAUAGUACAAGUACUCAAUUAUUCUGCAGGUUCUUGAGAGAGGGAAGAAUUGGCGAUAUUAAUGUUAUAGAACAACCAAAUUAAAUUACCUGUCAGGUUCCCAGGAUCUGUAUCUCUCUCCUGCCUGCUUGAAGUUGUUCUCUUUUUCAAUGACACACUAAAACACCAAUAAUAUAUAUGUGAGUGAAGAUUAAACUCAUUUAAGAAUACAACUCCCUGCACUGAUUAAUGAUUAUGAUGAACAAUAAGUAAAGAGGGUCUCACCAUUUCACGCCUUCCUGUCAAGACACGAGAAGGAAUUGGGUACUGUUCGGCAUGACGACAAGGAUCAAACCUUGAGGGCAAAUAAUCCACCUGCAACAUCAAGUCACAACAUCAGAAGAGUACUAAUAUGAACUUGCAAUUAGCCUUGGUAAGUCAAAAACAUUAGUAUACCUCUUCAUCGCGAUGCAUGAAGUUCAUAGCACCAUCGCGGUGAUUAUUGUGAUGAGCACACUUGGGAGCAUUAACAGGAAGCUGCAUAUAGUUUGGUCCAAUGCGGUGUCUCUGAGUAUCAGCAUACGCGAAUAUCCUGGUCUGGAGAAGCUUAUCCUCCGAAUAGUAAACACCAGGGACAAUAUGGCCAGGGUUAAACGCGAGCUGCUCAUUCUCAGCGAAGAAGUUAUCAAUGUUCCUAUUCAAUACCAAUCGACCAACUGGCAUCAAUGGCAAGAUAUCCUCAGGCCAGGUCUUGGUUACAUCAAGAGGAUCAAAGUCGAAUUUGUCUACAUCCUCAGUAUCCAUAAUUUGGAUAAAAAGUUUCCACUCGGGAUAGUUUCCAGCAGCAAUCGAGUCGUAGAGAUCCUUGGUGGCGUGGCUAUGAUUUGUACCUCCGACCCUAAUAGCUUCUUCCUCCGACAUGCACUUAACACCACAAGUUGGCUUCCAGUGAAAUUUCACAUAAUGUGCUUUCCCAGCCUUGUUUAUUAAUUGAUAGGCGUGAACACCAUACCCUUCCAUGUGUCUGUAAUCUGUCGGGAGACAAACAUCAUCGAAGAACCAAGCGAAAGUAUGCAAACUCUCCGGAAGGAAAGAGAAGAAAUCAAGGAUCCUCCAGUAUUCCUGAAUGUGUGACUUUGGAUUUGGUUUCAGUGCACGAAUCGUGUCAGGGAACGAUUUUGCAUCACGAUUAAAGAAGACGGGAACGUUGUUUCCAACCAGAUCAAAGU
rnacentral:lncRNA from 1 species